GACGAACCGUGCGAACGUUGCUCGGAUUUACUGGGCUUAAAGGGCGCGUAGGCGGGUUACCAAGUCAGGGGUGAAAUCUUUCGGCUCAACCGGAAAAGUGCCCCUGAUACUGGUAGUCUUGAGGGAGGUAGGGGCAUGUGGAACUUCCGGUGGAGCGGUGAAAUGCGUAGAUAUCGGAAGGAACGCCGGUGGCGAAAGCGACGUGCUGGAUCUCUUCUGACGCUGAGGCGCGAAAGCUAGGGGAGCGAACGGG
rnacentral:rRNA from 1 species